UACACGGUCACGGUUAUCUGUACAGUUCUCAAGGUUAUUAUCUUUUCGUCUGUUUGAUGUUCUGACGUUUGUUAGUGGCCAAGUGCGCAAAACACAUGAAAGUAAAAUUCCCCGUGCUUAGAAACAAGUAAGAUAUUCACGUAGUGAUUAGUUUGAUAUAAGAGAGUCCACUCUGGUCAUUUUCCUGUUGCAUUUUUACAUGCAAUCUCCAACAAGAAGAAAAUGUUUGAUUCAGUGGAAUCCGAUGCAACUCUCUUGUUGGAUGACUUUCGAAGUCCCCAAGGGAAGAUUGCAGACUCGCUCUCUUUAAUUGAAAAUACCUUAGAAUGGUAUGACCACAUAUCUUGUGCUUUUCUACUCUACGAGGACCCUCGCGAAGCCCUAGAAAAGAUUUCAACACUGCGAGAAAGUUACAACAAUAAAACGGAAUGGCGUCAAAUUGUUUUGACUCCGCUUUUCCGAUCGGACCGGCUAAACAGUGGCAACCUGUCGGAAAAACUCGGCGAAGUCAUUUUCCUGGUCAAACAUUACGGGCUGUUGAACAUGCUGGAAAUCGCCGUCAACUCUACAGCCAACAUUGAUCCUCUGCGACUACAAUUGUUUGAGAUGAUUGACAAAAUGGGCGAAGAACAAGCCACAUUGUGGGCUGAUCAAAUGUCUUCUGAGAAGGGAUUUCCUAAGAAUGAUUCCUCCUGGUGUCUGGAAAUGCACUGCCUCAGAUGGAUCGAAGAAGGGCAAAUAUCCAAAGAACAUGAUCUUUCAGCCCUUUUGAUAGAACCUCCAUCCGAGGUUGUCGCCGUUCCAGAAACACCCGAACAAGUUUUACCUUCUCCACUUAAAAGUGCCGUGGAAUCAAAUUUUCAAGCUCCUGCCAUCCCCAAAGCCAAUCCGGCCGAUUCCAGCACAUUUCAAAUUUCGCGCGGACUUUGCGUCAUCGUCAACCAGAUGAGAUUUUACGUCAAUCCGGAGCUCCGUCACAUGGGAGUGAGGGAGAAUCUUGCCUAUCGCUACGGAUCGGAUGCCGAUCGAGACAAGUUGUCGGAAACGUUCCGGAUGCUGGGCCACGACGUGGAAAUUUACGAAAAUUUGACCAGAGAAAUCCUUUUGAGGACGAUGGAGAAGAUUUCCAAAUACGAUUUCAGGCUUUACGACUGUCUCGUCAUGUGUUUCUUAACUCACGGCGAACGGGGAAUUCUUUUCUCUGCAGAUUCCAUUCCAAUCGAAUUAGAUCAAAUUAAAUCGUAUUUUAACGGAGCUAAUUGUCCCCAUCUGUUCGAGAAACCCAAAUUGUUUUUCCUGCAAGCCUGUCAAGGGCAAGAAAGUCAAAGGCGGAUUACUUACGACGAAAUUCAAGAUGACAGUAUUGUUCGACCGUCCAUUUCCAAUUUUUUCGAAGCGUGGGCUACUGUUCCAGGAUUUCUUUCAUACCGUUCAACUUACAAAGGUGCUGUGUUUGUUCGCGAAUUGUGCCACGUCCUACAGAUGUACGCGCACCUACCCAGUUUCGGAUUGUUUGAUCUGACAACCAAGGUGAACGACCGCGUGAGUCGAUGGGAAACGCCAGGUUUUAAAGUACAAAUGCCUUGCAUCGUAUCCUGUCUGACACGUGGAGUACAUUUCAAGCGGGACGAAGAUAAGCUCGUUGAAGCUGUCGUCGAUCAAUUAGAAAGAGAAGUAAUGGAUCUAGCCAUCAUGUCAGCUACACGUUACAUGUGGAAAACAGAUCCUGCUACUCUACAGAAAACCAUAAACACAUGGAGAUCCUAACUUGUGGGACUAAACGCUCUUACAAUUAAUAAUCUAUAGAGAAUUGUAAUCAUUUACCGCAUUUACCAGUGAUUUGAUAUCACAUUCAUUCGGUAUGUUGAUGAACCAUCUUGAAUAAGUGAUUGCUAAUGGUCUCGAUUUAAAUAUUUCGUGCACUGUGCGACAACUAUGCGUCAAAGCAUUUAGUAACACAUUUUACGACACCAAAUACAAAAUAAUAUUGUAUAUACAUGUGAUUAGGUUACACCGUUCGUUAAAUUUUGAUUUCUCAAUUCCGUAAGCGUUAAGUAAACAAAAAAAAUUUGAAACUCUUUUAAAAUUUCCGUUGGAACGAGUUCGGAUUUUGUUGAAUCCGCAAUCGAGAAACCAGUCGCACAAUGAAAGCCACGGAAGUAUAAGUUGCUGCUGGAAAAAAGCGCGAUGCCGGUUUACUUUUGAGUUUAGACGGAACCAAAGUGCCGUAAAAAUAGCUUGAUAGCUUGAAUAUUUAUUUGAAAAUCAUUUUAAAAUAAUCGACAACAGCUGUUUGUUACCGCAUCACAUUUUUUUUUUCAAAUGUGCUUGCUGCAAUGUUUCAGAUUCAAUUUCAAUUUUGGCGCGACUUUUUAUUACCUUUGAUACCCAUUGUUAUCUUUCGCAGAAUGAUUAGAUAAAGAGAAGUGGCGUUGUAUCCAACUAAGCUUGAACCAAAUGCUAGUUUUACAUAUAUUAUGCACUAUUGUGUCUAGUUCUCUAUACCUCACAAUAUUUUUUGCGACUACCUUUUCAACGAAUACUGCCAUGAAGGUUGCCAUACAGUUAAUACAGUUGAUUGAAAAUCUGUUGAAGGAAUUGAUGAAGACAAAAAAAGUUUUAGUUCCUGUAGCUGGAGCACUGACAGAUGCAGCCACUGUUGGUUUUACAACCUUAGUUGGUAGCUCAAUUGGCGGUCCAGUGGGAGCGGUAGCUGGAGGCGCAGUAGGAGCAGGGAUCCUAGGUGUAUCAAGAGCUCUGGGACAAUGCAAUUACAAACCACUAAUGACGGCUUUAACAGAGGACUUAACAGAAGAAGAAAGAAACGAUUUGUAUGAGAGAAUCUGGGAAAAACUGAAGGCGUACGGAAACUGCUCUUUAAAUCAGUUAAAGGAUUCAGCUCUAAUGGAUUCAGCUGUAAUGAAGUUGAAGAAAACUGUUGAGGAGAAUCCAAAUUUGAUGAAAAAUAUCGAAAAUGAACUUAAUGAAACUCUUGGCAAAAAGAAAAUGGUUUUAGAUUAAAAACGAGAAAAAAAUGACUGCAGUUGUUAAAUAUCCCUAAUUGAACUGCUCCUAUAAUCUGUCAUAUUACAAGUGAAAAAUAUUAAAAGUUAUGUUUUGUUACUCUACUCGGUUCAAAGCCGAGAAUGAAAAAUGUUGGAAUUCCUGGCAUUCAAAUUUCAGCUUUUUGGGCUAUGGCCCUGACAAUUUAAACAAGAAAAUAGAACUUGCUGUUCCACUCCAUCAUCCAAAACCACAAUCGAGAAACUAGAGUCGCACAAAUAUGAAAGCCACGUGAAAAACAAACGCGAUGCCUGUUUACUUUUGAGUACAGACGGAACGGAGUUGCCGUGAAAUUAGCUUGAUCGCUUAAAUAUUUAUUUGAAAAUUAUUGUUUUUUAAAUAUAAGCGACAACCCGGUUUAUUACUUCAUCACAUUUUUCAAAUGUGUUUGCUGCAGUGAUUGUGAUUCGCUUUAAGAUUUUGGCGUGACUUUAAUUUAUAGUGAUAUAGUCAUGUUUAUUACCUUUGUUACCCAUUGUUAUCGUUCGUAAAAUGAUUAGAUAAAGAGUAAUGGCGUUGUAUCCACUAAACCCAAACUUGAAGUGCAUAGUAUAUCAUUCCCUAUACCUUGAAAUAGUUUUGCGACUACCUUUUAAAACAAUGGAUAAUACUGCCACAGAGGUUGCUGUACUAAAUUCAUUCAAGUUAAUUGAAAAGCUGUUGGAGGAAUUGCUGAAGACAAAUAAAGUCAAAGUUCCUGUAGCUGGAACACUGAUAGAAGAUAUAGCCAUUGUUUGUUUCACAACCUGUGUUGGUGGCUUAGUUCAUGGUUCAUUUGGAGCUACUGUUGGAAGCGCACUAGGCACAGGAAUCCUAGCAACAAAGUAUAUGCUGAGAAAAGACAAAUACAAAUCUCUCAUGGCAGUUUUAAGAGAGGACUUGACAGAGGAAGAAAGGAACAGUUUGUAUGAGAAACUCUGGGAACAAUUGAAGGAGUUUUCAACCUACUCUUCGAAUCAAUUCAUGUAUCCAGCUGUUAAGGAGUUGAAGAAAACUGUUGAGGAGAAUCCUGAUUUGAUGGAAAACAUCGAAAAUGAGCUCAGUGAAACUCUUGCCAAAAAGAAAAUGAUUUUAGAUUAAAAACGAGAAAAAAAUAACUGCAGUUGUUAAAUGUCCCUAAUUGAACUGCUCCUAUAAUCUGUCAUAUUGCAAGUGAAAUCACUAAAUCAUGUUAAAUGAGAAAUUUUUCGAUGAGUGCAAUUCUUAAUAAAUAAUAAUUCUAUGAAA